rnacentral:rRNA from 1 species
AACGAACGCUGGCGGCAUGCCUAACACAUGCAAGUCGAACGAGAUCUUCGGGUCUAGUGGCGCACGGGUGCGUAACGCGUGGGAAUCUGCCCUUUGGCUCGGAAUAACAGUUGGAAACGACUGCUAAUACCGGAUGAUGACGAAAGUCCAAAGAUUUAUCGCCAGAGGAUGAGCCCGCGUAGGAUUAGCUAGUUGGUGUGGUAAAGGCGCACCAGGGCGACGAUCCUUAGCUGGUCUGAGAGGAUGAUCAGCCACACUGGGACUGAGACACGGCCCAGACUCCUACGGGAGGCAGCAGUGGGGAAUAUUGGACAAUGGGCGAAAGCCUGAUCCAGCAAUGCCGCGUGAGUGAUGAGGGCCUUAGGGUUGUAUGGCUCUUUUACCCGGGAUGAUAAUGACAGUACCGGGAGAAUAAGCUCCGGCUAACUCCGUGCCAGCCGCCGCGGUAA